rnacentral:rRNA from 1 species
GACGAACGCUGGCGGCGUGCCUAAUACAUGCAAGUAGAACGCUGAAGGAGGAGCUUGCUUCUCCGGAUGAGUUGCGAACGGGUGAGUAACGCGUAGGUAACCUGCCUGGUAGCGGGGGAUAACUAUUGGAAACGAUAGCUAAUACCGCAUAAUAGUAGAUGUUGCAUGACAUUUGCUUAAAAGGUGCAAUUGCACCACUACCAGAUGGACCUGCGUUGUAUUAGCUAGUUGGUGAGGUAACGGCUCACCAAGGCAACGAUACAUAGCCGACCUGAGAGGGUGAUCGGCCACACUGGGACUGAGACACGGCCCAGACUCCUACGGGAGGCAGCAGUAGGGAAUCUUCGGCAAUGGGGGGAACCCUGACCGAGCAACGCCGCGUGAGUGAAGAAGGUUUUCGGAUCGUAAAGCUCUGUUGUUAAGGAAGAACGUGUGUGAGAGUGGAAAGUUCACACAGUGACG